rnacentral:lncRNA from 1 species
AAAGGGUGGUUUUGGCCAUAUAUUUUUUGAUGAGCUAAACAGAUGUCUAUCAGAUUCCUUGUUUCUAGAUGUUUGGACUCCAGGAGUUUUUGGAUUCGAGGACUUCAUUCCAUGGUUGGCCAUGCUCAUGCUGGGGCCAUGUGAAGGUUUCUCAGGGGGACCAUGUAUCUGGGCAUAUGGUUUCAUUCAGUCAAGCCAACGUAGAAUCCAGCAUUUCUACCAACUUCUAUGUCCCUCUCAUGUAUGUUCCUGUGAAACUUGAGAGCAACAUCAAAGGCAGCACAUACUCGGCUGUGGAAAAAUCAAUGAAGAAUGAAGGUCAGUCUUCAAAAAACAAUGGCAGUUCCAAGUUGGAGGAGUAAAUUUGUUAUUAUUCAAAACAAUUGUAGAAAUAACAGUAUUUGCCAGCUAGUAAUUGACAUAACAGCAGUAGUUAAACAGUAAAAUGGAGUCCAAUGAGCCAACCAGUGGGAAGAAUGCAAUGCUCAGGCAGUACCGUGGGCAAUAUCACACUGAGACUCUAAGAGUGGAGGAUGUGCAAUUAUUGGCUUCAUGAGGCAUACUAAAUCAAUUCAAAGUUCAAAGUAUUGAAACAAUUAACUAAUUUAGGAUUUCCAUUUUAUGCACUAGAUCGGAAGGAUUCUGGAGCAAAAAUAUGUGCCCUGGUAACUUACUUUCAUGAAGUUAAUAACGUCCUACUAAUAAACAUCAAAAUGCAACGGCCCAUUAAAAAGAAAAGCACAGAAGAACUUUCAAUCUAUCAUUUCAAAACAGUCUCUCUGAACUAAACAAGAGUACAGCUAUGAUCUCCAGCUUUGGACGUUAGUACUUUUGCUUCUCCAAAAUCUUCACAUCACCUAAAGAGAGAGAGCAAUUUAAGAAUGUGCUCAUAAUAAUGAAAUUAGUUCUGGUAUCCGAGCAUUGUAGCUUGAUUGGAUAAUAAGUUCACAGGAAUACAUAUGAGACUCUCUAACUGCUUCACCUACAGGUACUACAAGAAGCUGGCAAACAUGUUGCUUUGACAUCAAGGGUUCAACAUAAUGCCAAAACAGCAAAAACAUUUUGUUAAAAGUUUGAUAUGGCAAAUCUAAAAGAUAAGUUGAUUCAAAUCCCAUAAUGGGCACACAGACAAUCUAGAAUGAGAGAAUGCAGGUUGCAGUUGCGAAUAUUCAACGAUCAACUGAGUUGAUAAUAACUUCUCCUAAUCCUUUAAAGGAUUGGCUUUGCUCCAUAAUUGGUUAAAUCACAAAUUUAGCAACCUAGCCUAUCCAAUAUGUCAUAAGAUCACAUAUUUAGAAGCUGAUUUUAUUAUGAAAGGCACAGGGCCAUUCUAAGUCAGAUAGGGAAGAAUAAUUGCUUUCAGGGAGGAGCCCAGUGGUCUCUCAUAUUGCAUAUGAUAUCAAGUCAAUGUGAACCAUUCACAUCAGCUUACAACCAAGCUGAAGUAGAAAUGUCAGGAUGCACGAUGAACUAGUUGAAGUACUAUUCUAAAGUUUUUCCAUCCAUAUUCUUAUAUAUUUAACGCAAAUAAAAUACAGAUUGGUACUUUGUUAUAGUUGUAUUCAAGCACAUAUUUGGCCUCUGUACAACUAAACUUCAAUGGAGCUCAUAAGAUUGGAAGCAAUAAGUUCAUCGGAUUAGCCAAGAUGGGGCACACUCAAAAGUAGACAAGUAGAGUACAACAGGUGCAUCUAACAAGAAAACUUCCAUUUUAAGAGAUGGUCUAGUGGCAUGGUACUCAGACAGAAAUUCCAGACCAUGAAUAACAAGUUAUGAACCACCAUCAAAGUAACUUUUCAAAGAGAUGAUUAAUACAUAGCCAAAGACAAGCCAUCAUAAUUGUGGACUGUUCAAAGAGAUGAUAAUACAUAGGCAAAUACAAGCCGUCAUAAUCGUGGACACAUAUCCUAAGAUAAUCCCAUUCCGCAGGAUGCAUUGCUGCAACAUAUAGAAUUCAGAUUCGACGCAAUCAACUCCACAUAAUCCAUCAAAAUCCCAUUGAAGAGGCAUUAGAAGGUAGAAAUUUCAGCUAAAUUUUUUUUGAAGAAAUGGAAAUAGAAGAAAGAAUCGUACCAUAGGUAGUGAGAAGAGAGAAUACAAGGGAAGAGAAAGGAGAAAUUCUAUGAAUCUUUGACCCCAAAAGAAAACCAAAAUCCAUACAAUACCUCCCUAAAGAACACACGCUUUUAUGGUUUUUGAUGGCAUAGGAGUACUUCCUAAGGAAAUAUAUAAGUAAUUAGGAGAUGCUACAAGAAUAGCUCAUGUCUGUUGCUUCCUAUAUAGUUACUUCCAUAUUCUUAUAUAUUUAAGGCAAAUAAAAUACAGAUUGGUACUUUGUUAUAGUUGUAUUCAAGCACAUAUUUGGCCUCUGUACAACUAAACUUCAAUGGAGCUCAUAAGAGUGGAAGCAAUAAGUUCAUCGGAUUAGCCAAGAUGGGGCACACUCAAAAGUAGACAAGUAGAGUACAACAGGUGCAUCUAACAAGAAAACUUCCAUUUUAAGAGAUGGUCUAGUGGCAUGGUACUCAGACAGAAAUUCCAGACCAUGAAUAACAAGUUAUGAACCACCAUCAAAGUAACUUUUCAAAGAGAUGAUUAAUACAUAGCCAAAGACAAGCCAUCAUAAUUGUGGACUGUUCAAAGAGAUGAUAAUACAUAGGCAAAUACAAGCCGUCAUAAUCGUGGACACAUAUCCUAAGAUAAUCCCAUUCCGCAGGAUGCAUUGCUGCAACAUAUAGAAUUCAGAUUCGACGCAAUCAACUCCACAUAAUCCAUCAAAAUCCCAUUGAAGAGGCAUUAGAAGGUAGAAAUUUCAGCUAAAUUUUUUUUGAAGAAAUGGAAAUAGAAGAAAGAAUCGUACCAUAGGUAGUGAGAAGAGAGAAUACAAGGGAAGAGAAAGGAGAAAUUCUAUGAAUCUUUGACCCCAAAAGAAAACCAAAAUCCAUACAAUACCUCCCUAAAGAACACACGCUCUUAUGGUUUUUGAUGGCAUAGGAGUACUUCCUAAGGAAAUAUAUAAGUAAUUAGGAGAUGCUACAAGGAUAGCUCAUGUCUGUUGCUUCCUAUAUAGUUACUCCAUAGUUAGUUCACACAAAAAUAGUUUCUGUAAGGUAAACAUGGUUUACUUUCACUGCAAUAUAUAACAUAAGUAGACGACAACACUCAUAUCUGGAUAAACUUUUGAAAUUAGGUUUUCAGGAUCUUUUACAAAUUUGUAAUUUUUAUUUGCUUCACCCUCUCCCCCUAUUCUUAGAAAACCUAAAAUUUUGGAUCCUUCUGUCCGUUGCCUUUGCUAAUAAGCAGUUCUCUGUCUAGCCGCUAUUAAGCCACAUUACCUCCACAAGAAAUCAAUUCCUAGCCACAAAACACUCCAUUACUCUCCCCAGCUUUGUUACAUUAGAUCUUUAGCAAGCAUCAAUAACCAAAUUCAAAAUAACACACACUACUAUGCACUUAAAUCAAAUUACCAAGAUCAAUUUUGAAAAAUAUCAUAAAAUCGUGAAACACAAGAACAUUGCAUUGCAAUGUAUUGUUAAUAUAUCCCAUAUCAGUAUCAUACAUAUCAUUAUCAACACCACGAAUACCACCACCAUCAUCAUAAACCUCUUUUGACUCCAAAAUCAACAGCUCUUAUUGUCGUAACGAGCAUAGCUACAGAACCCAUUACUGAAAAUUAACACUUGAAACCACCUAGCUUAAUUAAACCCAUCUGCUAAUAAACCUAUUCAUUGCUAACCCAUCAAGCUACAAAUUAAUCAAAAUCAAACUCCAAACAAAAUGAAAUAAUCAAAUAAUAAUAACAACAACAGUAACACAAAUAUACCGGUGAACAAAUUGACGAAUCCGGGGGUGCUUAGGGCUGAUAACGCGGCCCUGAAUCCUCAAAGCAAGCCUGUACGUCCGCUUCAUCCCCAAGAAAUACGCUGUUCCCAAUGUGAUCUCCCAUAGCACCAUUGUCUCUCUUUCUAGAACUCUCUCUCUCUCUGUGUAUUGUUCGUGUAUUUAUGCACUUUUUUUUUGUUUUAUGUUUAUUUAUUUAUGGAUAUUUUUUAUAUUUUGACGUUUCUUUUCUCCCAAGUAUCUAUGGAUCCCUCGCUUCAGAGAAGUAUCUAUGGAUCCCUUGAUUCGAGCCGCCAGAUAUUUCGAUCUUGGUUACCCAUCACGCUUCGGCCUUAGAGUGUUUAUCCGUUUUUUGUCUCCGGACUUCAUAUGUAUCUAAAGAGGAAUUUUUGAGGAUUAUGCCAUCAAUAAAAAUAAAAUUUCCAUAAACAUGACAAAUAUGUGAGGAAAAGUCUAGAAAGCCCUUCCAUUAGAAUGACACACUCUACCCACACCCAGUAGUUAGCUGCCCGACCUUUUUUUAGUUGACAACUAUACUCGACUUUAUUUUAACCAAUAGUUACAUAAUUGUGAGACUCAUUUUCAUAUUCGAUCUAUAUUUAAUUUUUUAAUUACUCGAAUAUUAUCGAAAAUGAACUAAUUAUGAUUAAAUUAUUUAUUAAUCAUUCCAUAAUUAUCUAAUUGUACUUAAGUAAUUUAUCUAUGCUAUGCAUUAUAAUGAACGAAAAAUUAAACUAAAGAAAGCCUGUCACUUUUUUUAUAAAAAAAAUUGGAGAGAGAGGGGCAAAAUAGUCUAUUGUGUUGCUAUAUUGAAUGAAUAUAUUUUAUAGUCUUUGUGCAAUUCACUCGGUCGUAAUCACAUAUAAGUGAAUAAAGCCGAAAGCAGGCGUAGUUCUGGAAAUUGGCCAUUUAAAAUUAAAAAAAAAAAAAAACUCUACAUCUCUUUGAGUUCUCCCGGCCUCAUCUCAACAGUUGGGUUCUCUGUUUUUUUUUUUAUAAUGCCACUGUUUUAGUGAAAGAGAUCUUUUAAAUACACCUCUUUACUUGAAUAAAAAAGGGGUACAAAUAUGUCAAACAAUAAAAAUGGCAUGAAGCUAAAAGGAGCAAAAUAAUAAUAAGUCAAUGGUAGAAUAAUUAGUAGAACUUCUUCGCGUGUUCACUAUUUCAUUUCUCAAUCUCUUGAAAUAUUUGAUUGAUGGGUAUUUAUAGCCAAUAAAGCAUAUAUAUUCGGUCGUGCAUUUAGCAACAUGUUUUUUGAUUCUUAAGGUGUUAUGUAUAUUAUAUUUCAAGGAGUAUGAUGAUACACACAUACAUCAUAAAUCAUGGAGCUGCUUUUGCAACUCACUUCCUAAAGUUAUUAGUGUAAAAUACACAUUCUUUUUACCAAGAGAUGAAUAGAUAUAUCUCAUAACAACAACGAGAAUUUAAAUUAUCACAAUGCUUUUGAAAUUCCAAGAACAGAAACCUCCGCUUCCACAAUGCACACAUCAUUCACAAGAAAACCAUUGCCUGCCUCGUUUUAGUAACUGAGUUCAACAAAUCUUGGCCAACCCCAUGAGGACCUGAACCAUAUACUUGCUGCGUGAAACAACAAUAAAGAAAGCCUCAAGUUAUUUGUAUUUAGCUAUAAAGCUUAUAGUUGCAGUACUAUUGCAUUAAUUCAUGCACCUGUGAAAUAAGUUUGGGAUAUUAAUUUUUUUAUUUAAUUACUUUUUGCUUCUUUAUGCUUUCCCCGCACUUGAUCCCGGAUUCGCAGUGUGAAGUGCACGUAUAUUUUAAAACCAGGAGUUAUAGUUGAGGAAUCAACCAAUGCCAAGGACAUAGAAACAUGACUGCCGGUUCCACUUUUGAUUCCCUUGGGAUGGAGCUGUAUCUUCCUGAAAAAAUCAACAAGGGUUAAUUUUCAGAUGAGGCAUUUAAUUAGAUGAUACGAGUAAAGAAAUUAACAGAAAGAAUUAGUCAUCCUCAACUUCGGACGUCUACUUGAUCGUAGGCUAAAUCCAAACCUCGUGAAAUUUGGACACCAUUUCAGAAAGUAUAUAUAUACAUAUACCACUUUUGAUCUCUAACAAUGAAUACUUCUGAUUCGUGACGCUUUGCCUCUAACUUUGAAAAGUUCUCGAUCUUCCAAACAUGCUUAUAAAUGGAAGCAGAUGUCAAUUUCGUCAUGGAAAGGCACUCUCCUUUGCAUUUGUUCCUUUCUUUAACCAGUACUUCUGCUCCAAAAACACACGUAUCGUCCACAAGAUAUCCAUUCGAAGCAUCGUUAAAUUCUUCCAGCGGGAUGAAUUGAUCAAAACCCCAUUCAAGCUUCAAUCCAUGAAAACGUCUUUCUUUUCCCAUGGCAUCUACCACAUGAUGAAGUGACCCCAAAUCACGAUUAGCUCUUAGGUAAAUAAUUAAGAACAAAAUAAUCCUGAACACUGUUGAGUAUAAUAAUCAACCUUGAAGAAUCAAGAACUCGUCUUUGUUCUGAUCAAGCACAAAGAGGCGGAAAAUUGGAUAGACUUCCCAGCCAAAGCCAAGCGAACUUGUGUCUGCCAUUUCCAAGUAGAGUGAGAUGUGAUCGUUCACAUUUUUGUUUUCAUUUCCAUUUGGGUAGACAACAAGUUUCCUGAAACCAUCAUGAAUUCAAAAUAACAUAUUAGAUUAUGAAUUAUAAUUUAGUAACAAGGUAAUCUGAAUAUUAAUUCACUAAGUUUUAGGUCAUACCACUUGUGGCCUCCAGCAUCAAAUUCCAAAGAUUCAUAAAUUUCCAAUUCAUUCUCCACAAGAGAUGAAAAUUCCUGUAUUUUGAGUAAGAAAUGAGCCGGUGGUACGUGUGAAAUGGAUCUUGAAAUUGCCGUCAAGAGUAAUUUUAACAUUGAUAAGAAGAUAACAAGCUAAAAAUGUUCAAUUAAUGCACAUAUAUAAACAUACGUAGAGAAGGGAAGCUGAGGAAAGAGUUAGACAACAUACCAACUUGGUCUACAAAGUCAUUUUCCAUUGCAACAAAUCCCUCCAAAUUACAAUAAUUUCUCGAGUAUUAAAACUAGUAUUGAAGACAGAUUUAUUAAGAUAAGAUUUUUCAAGGGUUACAGGUCUCUCAAAAAUAAUAUUUCUUCUUUAAAAUAUCUAAAAGGGACAAUGGCAUAUAUAAAGCACCAAGGUUGAGGGUUUAUACAAUUCAACAUUAAAUUUUCAGAAAGAGUCAGAAUAACUAUUGAUAUUCGCCAAGUUUUGGAAACUGGUGGUUGCAAGAAUGGAAUGGAAAGGGGAAUGCAAGGGGGGGAAGGGAGAUUGAUUCUUUAAUUUGUUUGGUUUGGUCAAGGAAUAUUGAUUUCUUUGCUUGGUUGCAAGAAUGGAUGGUAAGGGGUAAGAAAACAACUACAAUACAAAUGAACAAGAAUAUGUGCCCUCCACUCAAAAAACGUCUAUUUCAACGAACUGAAGCAGUAUUUUAGUUGUUCUAUUUUCUAUUAUCAAAUAUUAUAAAAUUAGCUUCCAAAAUUUAGGCCCGAUUUAGUAUUAUGGUUGAGCAGCACUUAGUGUUCGAUAAAUAUUUAUUAAUCUAAUCUGAAAGUUAAGUUGAUUUUAUUUCACGCUCGUAAAAUAAAAAAACCUAAAAAAAACCUAUUGCGACUGGCAGAAUACAGAGAGAAAAAAAGAGGGGCAACAGUGAAUAAGAUAUCACAGGCUAAACCUAUAAGAAGCAUCCCCAUCUAGUUUCCAUGUGGAGACUUAACAACCAAUUAACCACCAAUUAUCGAGCGGCAACAAUUGAAUUUCUCUGUCAAAUAUUUGGGUACGAUGAGAUUAACUCUUAUUAUAAGAAAUAAAAUUAAAAAAUUGGCAUCCCAAUUUUCUUGCAAGAGUAGCAAUGCUUAUUAGAGUAUAUAUUACAGGGCUUUGGGAAUUCUAAGCGCAGACACCUCUACUUCAGCAAUGCACACUUCGUUCACAAGAAAACCAUUGCUUGCCUUGUUCAAGUAACUGGGUUCAACAAAUUUGUGCCAGCCCCAAUCUUCGAUUGAGUUCCUAAACCAUGUACUGGCUACAGGAACAACAAUAGAAACCUGAAGUUAUCUGUAUUUAGCUACUACGCUUAUUGAUGAACUUCAACACCUGUUAAAGCUUGGGUUAAUAAUAACAAGGGUAAAGUUUUAUGAUUAUGCUUUGACUACACUUGAUCCUGGAUUUGCAGUGUGAAACAAAGGUAUUUUUAAAACCACGAGUUAUAGUUGAGAAGUCAGCCAAAUAUCAGGUACAUAGAAAUAUGACUGCCAGGUCCUUCUCUCUGUCCCUCGGGAUAGAGGCAUACCUUCCUGAAAAAAUCAACAAGGGUAAAGUUUAAGUCUCGGCAUUCAAUUGUACUUAUUUACUAAGAGGUUCCACUUAACAAAUUAUUAAAACAUUAACUUUCAAAUGUGGCAUUUAGUUUAUAUAUAUGAACAGAGAAACAAGUAAAUUUUAGAAAAUCAUUUACAUUAUACAUUCGAAGAAGUGGUCAUAACAUGAGGCCCCUUUUUAACAAGUUGUACCAUUCAAAUUUCUUCUACAUUACCAUUAGAAAUAUAUCGCACAUGUAUAAAUGAACCUUAAGUAUUAGUCAUGUUCUGGUACAGAUGUCUAGAUUUCGGCUAUUAUAUAUUAGAGUUGUGCAUCAUUAUAAAAUGUACAACUUUGAUUAUAGUUCGAAUCGAGGUUUUAUAGACUCUGAACGUCCUGACUUGAGCAUUAAAUCCAGAUAUCAUUCAAUUCUGAAUUGAUCAAAACCUAAUUCAAGCUUCUUUCAUUUCCCAUGGCAUCUAUUACAUGAAGUUGACCAAAUCAUUGAUUAGCUCUUAGUUAAAUAAUUAAAUAAGAACAAAAUAAUCAUAAACAUUGCUGAGUGUAAUAAUUAACCUUGAAGAAUCAAGAACUCGUCUCUCUUCUGAUCAAGCACAAAUAAUAAUCUAAUAUCUAAUUCACUGUUGUGGAUAGUUAUGACCAAUUAAUUAUCUUAUUUUGCAAUAACAUAUUUUUUACGUUCGGCACCGUUUUUCAUGGGCCAUUCUCAUUUUCUUUUUAUAAAUUCAAGUGGAAUAAGUGUUCGGUAGCCCUUCUCGUAAAACCUAAUUGUAAAACAUAGAAUCUGACUUAGCUUUGAUAGUUAUAAAUUAUAAAACAACUUAUACAUGUUUUACUUGUUUUAUAAAACAAAUUGUAAAAUAAAAUAUAAUAAUAUACACGGUUAAUAAAAAUAGCAGAUAGUCUCCAUCUUUAAGACUCUUGACACCCCGUCUAUCUCACUAACCUUAUCUCUUAACUCUCAUCUUCCUUCAUGAUUUACGAACUGCAUCUCGUUCUUCCUUUCUUCUUCUUUUCUUCUUCCUCUGUUUUUUCUACCUUUCCUUCAUAAUUCUUUUCUUUAUUAGCUCGAUCAUUUUUUUCAACAUAUUUCUGGGUUCUUAUACAUUUUAUUUAGUUUUUCUUUGAUAAAAUCACCAAAGAUCUAUAGAGAUUUACACUGAACUUUGCAGAUAUGGGUAUUUGAUUCUUAAUUGUAAGCAAGCAUGUAAUCUUUUUUUUUUGUUUCCCAGAAACGCCAUAUUUAAUCAUUUUAAUUUGAUCAAAUGUUAAAAUGUUGUAAGAAUUCAAUAGAUUUUUUUCUUUUUUGAAAGAAAGGAGAAUUAGAUUUAAUAUUUAUAAAAUUAUUUUUCCUCCUUUUAUAUCCUUUUCGAAUCAAGUGUAUAAGGUAGAAAGAUCGAUCGAAUAGUGAUCAUGUUAACAAAAAAUAAUUAUUUAAAAAAGUUAAAAUUGGAUAUUAUAAUUAUUGUUAUUAUUAUUGCUGUUGUUGUUGUAAGUUGGUAUAUUGAAAAAUAAAUUAGUUUUUAUAUGAAUUUUAAACACAAAUUUAACUUGCAUGAAGUAAAAACCGUUAAUAGAUACCGAACGUGUAUUAUUAAUUUCAUUUUUUAAAUAUAGGAUAUACAAAAUAAUACCAAACACAUAUUUAAAUUAGAAAUAUAAGAACUUCAAAACACCAUUUUCGUUCUCAUUUUUAUUCUAAGAAAAUAUAAAUUUAAAAACCAUACCGAACAUGCUAGCUUCUGAUCUUUUUUUAGUUUAGAAACUACUUCUUUUGAAUUCUUAAAUGUCCAUAUAUGAUAUUUCUUUCAUGUAACAUUAAUUUCUUGCUUGUACUCAAUUUAUCUUAUUAAUGCUUCUCUUUAAUUAAAAACUAAGAGUUUUUAUCACCAUCUCACUUGUUAAUAGUUGAUAGAUAGUAAUUUUAUUCCAGGAUUAAGAUUGUCAGAGAUUUUCUUCCAGGAUUAAGAAUUAUGUCAAUGAACAAAUGUGAUCGCAUAAGUAAGCCAUAAAAUCAAUGAAUUUCUUUAUUUCGUGAGAAACCAAGAAGAAUAAACAUCUCAAUUUUCUUCAUAUUUUGCUCGAAUUACUUGUUAUUACAAUGCCUCGGAGAUUCUGAGCACGUGAUCUCAGCUUCCACCACGCAAAUGUCGUUCACAAGAUACCCAUUCUUUGGGUCAUUUAACUUAAUGAAACGAAUCUUGACCAACCCCACUUAUUAUCGACUGGUGCAUAGAACCAUUUUCUACCUCCUAGAGAAAAGGAAUCAUUUGUUGAACAUGUGCAUGCAUGUGGCAAAUAAUUGCACGUGGCUAGCAUGCAAUUUUUUAACUCUUAGCAUAAAGUUGUUGAGUAAAUGGAAAACAAAGGUAAGUGGAAGGAAUCAACUUUUGACAUUGGCACCAAAUUUGAAAAGUUGGGUGGAAAUUUAUAUUAUUUUAAUGCCCACCAUUGUUGAUUUUUGGGCAUGGCUUGACCUAUCAAUAGAGGCCUCAUUUGCCCUCUUUAUUUAUCUCAUUUUCUCCAAUUCAAGUGAGAGUGCCAAGAGGUGUAAGUUGAGAGUGUUGAGAGCUUUGAGCUGUAGUUCUAGUGUUUUGAGAGUUUGGGUGUAUUGAGAUUUUGGGUUGAGAGAAAAAAUAUUACAAUACUUGUAAUUCCUUUUCACUAGUAAAAUAUUUUCUUUUGUCUUUGUCUGUGGAUGUAGGUUAAAAACUGAACCACGGAAAUUCUGGUGUCCAGGUAUGUUCAUUAUUUCUUAAUUUUACUUUAGUUGCGUGUUUGCUGCACCCGCAAAUUCCCAACAUCAUUCUCAUUAUACAUAUUAUUUGAAUUCUAUAACCUCAAAUUAAGCUGAUUUUUUUUUAGGUUAAAGGUACUUUCAAAAUCAAAGAGUAAAAAAAAAACUGCUUGAAAAUCACUCAAUCAAAUUACCGGUGUCAAUCAUAUAAAAAACAAGCAAUAUACCUUAAGAAGAUUCAUGCAUUGGCGAAUUUGAUCCAAGAUUUGAAAUGUAAACUCUGCGCAUACUUUAACAAUACUCCGAACUGCGGAAUCUCCAAAACCCAAGAACAAGGAAAGAUAAUCGCCAGCACCGGGGCCAGCUCCCAUCGGGUGCAGCUCUAUCUUCCUGAAAAAAACGAAAUGGUAUUUAAUUAAUUGUACACUCACUGACAACUUUGUCUCAAGAACUUAUUAUUUAUUAUACCUGUAUAAAUUAAAAAAAAAUUAAAAUCUUCGAUACCAUUUGUGGUUUCCAGCAUCGAAAACUUGUGAUUCCUCAUAUCCUGCGUCUAACUUUGAAAAGUUCUCGAUCUUCCAAACAUACUUACAACUGCUUGCAAUUUCUUUCAUAGAUAGGCACUCUCCUUUGAAUUUGUUUCUUUCUUUAACAAGCACUUCAGCGUCAAAAACACACGUAUCUUCGACAAGGUAUCCAUUUGAAGCAUCAUUGAAAGCUCUAAGCGGGAUGAAUUUAUCAAAACCCCAUACAUGCUUCAGUCCAUUAAACCGUCUUUCCUUUCCCAUGCAAUCUAUCACAUUAAAAGCAACCACUGAUUAUGCAUGCAUUCAAUUUCUUUCCUAAAGAUUCGAGCAAAAUUUUUGCUUUCAAUAUACAAUUCUGGACAUUAAAUUUGAUUUAACCUUGAACUACAAAGUAGUUGUCUUGGUUCUAAUCAAGUAAGAACAGACAAAAACUGCAGAGACUUCCCAAUCCAAAGUAAAUGAACUUGUGCCUGCAAUUGCUAAGUAGAGUGAGAUGUAGUCUUUCACAUUCUUGCUCUAAUUUCCAUUUGGGUACAGAACAAGUUCCUUGUAAUAAUUAAUCGACAUUAAUAAAUAAUACACUAACAUGAUAAUUAAAUUUAAUUACGUCAAUUAAGGACACACACACACGCACACACAUACAUACAUACAUACCACUUGUAGCCUCCAACUUCAAAUUCUCCUGAUUCAUAUUCCUCUUCUGCUUUUUCCGCAAGUAAUGAAAAUGAUUUUAUUUGGACAAUGUAAUGAGCCGGUGGCGCUUUUGAAGUGGAUCUUUCACUAGCUAUUAAAGUAAUUUUAUACACCGAUUGAUUAAUUAGGAAAUAAAAUAAGCAGCUGAAGAUUUUAUGUAUAUUAAUUUGACCAAGAAGAGAAGGAGAGAGAACAGACAUUCCACGGAAAAAAACUCUUCCAAAUAAUUGUCGAAUGCACAUUCUGCCUCGUGGGAAGGACAAUGUAAUGAGCCGGUGGCGCUUUUGAAGUGGAUCUUUCACUAGCUAUUAAAGUAAUUUUAUACACCGAUUGAUUAAUUAGGAAAUAAAAUAAGAAGCUGAAGAUUUUAUCUAUAUUAAUUUGACCAAGAAGAGAAGGAGAGAGAACAGACAUUCCACGGAAAAAAAUUCUUCCAAAUAAUUGUCGAAUGCACAUUCUGCCUCGUGGGAAUUCUCGGACGGCGUUUCGCGACCGAAACGGCAGCGUUUCGAGGCAGCUGUCUUUUGAGGGUGGUUCAUGCUAAGUCCGAUGAUGGCUUCAGGAAUGCUCCGCUUGAUACAACUUAGUAGCUAAUAACUUUGUCCAAAUCCCAAAUAAAUAAGAGAAAUAAAUUUAAAUCCAAAUAAAAAUGGAAUUACAAAAACUGACUAAAAAACAAAGGCUAAAUAGGGUAAAUCCUGAUAAAAUAUGAAAAACUGCUUUUAACUAAUAAAAUUCGUAAGUAUCUCAUUUAAAUGUUACAAAUGAUCAAUAAAAUCUCACCCUUAAAAGUUGUGUGCCUUGCCCGCACUUGAUCCAAAAUAUAGAGUCCAAGUUUUGCAUAUACUUUUAACAGUCGAAUAUACCAAAAUCGAGAACAGCAGAUCAGCUUUUUCUUCAUGAAGAAUAUUAGCUUUUUUGCAUUUAUUUUCAUUACAAUAAGUUUCUUGCAACCACCAUGAAUUCAAUGAGAUAUUAGACGGCCGUAGUUCAGUAAUAAGAAAAUCUGAAUAUUAAAUGAAUUAGUCUGACUAUUGAUAUUCAUCAAAUUUCUGAAACUGGGUCAACAAUUUGCUUUUCAUUGUAAUCCAGCGAAGGAAAAAAAAAGUAAUAAUAAAUAAAGUUUGGUAGAUAAAUCAAAAGAAAAUCAUAUAAUAAUAUUCCAUGUGAUUGGAUUAAUUGUUUCAGUUGGUUUCACUGCCUUCGAUUUCUCUCUUACAUCCCAAUUUUCUUUGUACCAAUCACUUCUUUCUUUUUGGAAAUCAAAAUCUUAGAAGAAAGAAGAAUUACUGCCAAGAGCAUAUAAUAAAUCUUCACGUUCAUAGAUGCAUAAAAUUAGAUCACCAAAAUCACACUAAAAGUUAACUGGACAACUGAAACAAUAAGCAACAUAGCUAUAAUUUGGAAAUCCAGGAGAGAAAUAAUUUUCUUGCAAGCUAAAAUAAAUUUCCUAGAUUAGCCAGGAUGGCAGUCAGCAUCACACAAUAAAAGAACCCAAUUGGACGACAAGUAACUACUUGUUAUAUUGGCUCGGAAAUCCCAAGCACAGUGACCUCAGCCUCCACCACGCAAACGUCAUUCACUAGGAACCCAGUCUCUGGAUCAUUUAACUCACUCAAUGAAACGAAUCUUGGGCAGCCCCAGCUAGACUUUGGUGUAUGGAACCAGAAUUUAUCUGCUAGAGUAAAAGGAGCGCUCUCGUAAUAUUAUUUGGAUUUGCCUUCAAUUAAUUAAGCUGACUUACUAAUUGCAUGUAAAGACACACAUUUUACCUUGAAAAGAUUCAUGCUUUGCCCCAGUUGAUCCCAGAUUCGCAAUGUGAACUCUGCAUAAACUUGAACAUUCUCAACUGUGAAAUUUUCCAAAAUCAAAAACAUGGAAAGAUGAUCGGCAGCACCAAUGUCAAUUCCCGCGGGGUGGAGCUCUAUCUUCCUGAAAACAAUGAUUUGGAACUUAGUUGUAGAUUCACUAAAUACCUUGCCUCAAGAAGGUAUUUACAUAUAUAUUCUGAUUUGGAAAAAGAAAAAAAUUGAAGCUUAGAUACCAUUUGUGAUUUCCGGCACCGAACGCUUGUGAUUCCUUAUAUCCUGCGCCUAAUUUUGAAAAGUUGUCGAUCUUCCAUACAUACUUAGAACUAUAUGCAUAUUUUUCCAUGGAUAGGCACUCUCCUUUGACUCUGCUUCUUUCUUUAACAAAGACUUCAGCUCCAAAAACACAUGUAUCCUUGACAAGGUAUCCAUUUGUAGAAUCGUUGAAAGCUUCAAGUGGGAUGAACUGAUCCAAACCCCACUGAAGCUUCAACCCAUUAAACCGUCUUUCCUUUCCCAGGGCAUCUAUCACAUUACAACCGACCACUGAUUAUGCAAUUCUUUAUCUAAAAGACUAGAACAAAUUUUUGCUGCAGUAUUUUCUGUAUUUAAUUUGUAAAAUACUGACGACCACACUAGAUAAGUUUAUAAACAUAUCAUAUCGUCAAAAUUGUAAAAUGUACGUAGAUCAUUAGAAAAUAUGAUCAAGAUUAACAUUUCGAAAGUAGAAUAUAAUAUAACCUUGAACUACCAAGUAGAUAUCUUGGUUCUGAUCAAGUAAAAACAAACGAAAAACUGCAUAGACUUCCCAACCAAAAGUAAGUGAACAUGUAUCUGCCAUUUCUAGGUAGAGGGAAAUGUGAUCUUUCACAUUCUUGCUCUCUUGGGGUAUAUAACAAGUUUCCUGCAAUAAUUAAUUAAUCAACAUAAAUACACUAAUAAAUGAUACUACCAAGCAAAGACUAUCAUUCAAAAGUUAGGUUCAAAUCGUGAUCACAUUAGGGUUGGGGAGUUGUUGUUUUUUUUUUUUUUAAUCAUUAUAGUCUAACGGCAGCCCAAUUUUCUUGUCAUCUUUGAAAAGUGAUUUUGAACCCGGGAUCUGAUGUUUCACCACAAAAGAUUUUACCAAUUUAACUAAAUAACACUCAGCCCGUAGGUUGAGGUGUCGUUUGAUUAUUAAUAUCAAGAUGGAAUAAUAAUAAUAAUAAUAAUAAUAAUAAUAAUAAUAAUAAUAAUAAUAAUAAUAAUAAUAAUAAUAAUAAUAAUAAUAAUAAUAAUAAUAAUAAUAAUAAUAAUAAUAAUAAUAAUAAUAAUAAUAAUAAUAAUAAUAAUAAUAAUAAUAAUAAUAAUAAUAAUAAUAAUAAUAAUAAUAAUAAUAAUAAUAAUAACGAUAAUAACAAAAGAAAAGGUGGUGGCAUAAGUUAUUUAAUUUACUGCAAUAAAGGAACUAUAUAUAUAUAGAUAUAUAUGCACACGCACGCACGCACCACUUGUAGCCUCCAGCUUCAAAUGCUCCUGAUUCGUACUUCUUAUGAACUGCUUUUUGGGCAAGUAAUGAAAAUGAUUUUAUUCUUAAGCUAAAAAUGUACAAGAAUAUUGAAAAAUAUGAUAUUAUUUAAUCCUAAUUAAUCAAUAUACAUACACUAAUACCGUAACAGUAGUGGUUCAAGAGGUUCGGGUUCGAAUUCGGAUUACACUAGGGUCGAGGAGUUGCUUGAUUUAUAUCGCAAAAUGGGAAAAAUAAUAAUAAUAAUAGAAAUAAUAAAGAAAGGAAUGGUGGUGCCUUGAGUUAUUUAAUAUACGGCAGUCAAGAAAAUAAAUAUACGUAUCACUUGUAGCCUCCGGCUUCAAAGAAACUGUCCAUCUCUGUUAACAAGUUCUCCAAAGAAUUGUUGAUUUUUAUUGAUUAGAAAUAAAAUAAAUUAAAUUCUAUCCAAACUGAAAUUACAAAAACGACUGAAAUACGACCAGUUUGACUGAUUAUAAUUUCUAAUUGAAUUUUACCAAAACAGAACCAUGAUUAAUUGCGUACACCUUGCAUAUUAACAAUCAAAAGACCUCUAUGUUUGAUGAAAAUUUGGCAUGUGGAAAGUGUCAAUGUAGGAGCAAUGAUACCACUACCAGAAAAGAACAUAACCUUCCUCCCUAGUAUAUAAAUGUCAAACGAUUACAAGACUGCUAGCUAACUCUUAAAAGGUACUGAAGUCCAAAACAGAGCCACGAUUAUCAGUUGCUCAUUUACUGCAUUGACAAAUGAAUAGAAGCAUUAAUUUGAUCAUCAUCAUUAGUUCUGAAACGAAUUGGCUGACAAAAGGGAAACUAAAUUCUGCUUGGGCAAUGUGAAAAUACGACAAAGCAUACUAAAAUCAUGUGACGUGGGACCCGAAAACUUAUAACCACAACCCCGAAACAAAGUCUCAGAAAUUUAUAAAAAAAAUGAUACUACCAACCAUACUAAAAUCAUGUGACGUGGGUCGUCAAUCCUUGGUUCUUUUACUUUUUUAUUUUUUUAUUUUUUUCCAUUGACUUCAGAACUUUUUUUACUCCUCUCUGUGGCGGCACUUUACACUCGUCACUACUAGAAAAAUAGGUUAUUAUGACAGAAUUUUUGUGAGAUAUUUAAAAAUUAAUCAUUUAUCACAAAAAUAAGAUAGAUUCGUGAUAGAAUUUUUAUGUAUCAUAAAGACGUGAUAGAUUUGUAAUAGCUUAUUUAUCUAUCACAUACACAUGAUCGCAUAUUAAUAUUUAAUGAAACGGUGAGUUUUGAAUGGAUUAAUUUAGGCAUAGAAUGACAACGUAUCUUGAAACCACAAAAAAAAAACAAAAAACCAUAAGUGGUAGACUCUCCUUUGACUUCAAAUGGCAAACCCUAAUUUCUAAAUCACACACAAAAACAAAAUCACGUUGCUGACAAAAAAUUUGGUCCUCUACUGCGCUGCUUGCCGACAACAAAUUGCUACUCUUCGUCUUCGUCUUCGUCUUCGUCUUUGUUAAGGAAGCUCAUUUGAGCAAAAUGGUCAGCAAAGCAGAGGAUUGUAACAGUUGCAGUUCACAGUUACAAGUUGAUGACUUGGGAUGCCAGCUGGCACCUGGUGGUUAUAUAGUUUCUUGUACACGUGAAUAUUAGUUUUAGUUUUGUUAUAGUAGCUAUUAAGUAUGUUUAGCAUGUUUAGUUAGCUAAGCAAAAUUAGUUGUGUGUACAGCAGCUUAUUAUAAGAAAUAAAAUUAAAAAAUUGGCACAGCUAGGUCUUUACUUCCUCUUUUUCUUAUAUUAUAUUCUUUUGAUUUGAUUUGAUUUGAUUUUUCUGUGAUCUAUACGCCAUUUAUUUUGAUCGAUCUGAUUGCUAUUCUAUGAUGUUGUUUAUUUUUUGGUGAACCACUAGCUUUCAAUUGAUUUUGAUUUAUUUGCUAGAUCUAGGGUUUUGUAUUGGCUUAUUAGUUUAGUAGUUAUGUAUCGACAUGUUUUUUCCUUUAAUUUUGAUUUUUUUUACUUCUCUCAUUCUAAUUUAGAUAAUUUUAGGGUUAUGCUUGAAUUAAUUAUUCUUUUAAUCAACUUAGGGUUGGAUUUAAUUGAUUCUAAGUCUCAUCUCUGUUCCCAUUCAAAAAAUAAGUACGCACAAAUAGUUUUCAUUUUAUUCUCAGUCAUUGCCAUGUGAUAAUUUUGUUUCUUUGAAUUAAUUUAUUUAAUCUUCGGUUAAUACACUUCUCUUUGAAUUAAUUUUGUUUGUUUGAAUUAAUCAUGGCCAUGUGAUGGAGUUCAUUUAUCAUUGGGAAGAAAAAAGUAGAUGAGAAGGAAUAUCAUGUUCAAGAGAUUAAGGACAACAUGCUGGACUAAUUAUCGAUUAUUUUAAAAUUAUGUUUUGGCUUAAACUACCCAUGUCACUAGCAUUAUUUCAAAAUCUGAAUAACCUCAUCUCUUUCUCAGACUGAAAGGCUAGCAUAGCAUUGGGCUGUUGCCUUUACUAAUUGAGAAGUGAAGUUCUAAACAGUGGCUCUAUACUGGAAACUUGGUUUCAUCUGCGUUAAUACUUUUGGUAAUUUCAGAACAAGAACUGGAAUCUAAAUAAGUAGUAGAAAUUUUUUUAUGUAAUUCUCAAGAUUUUUGAUAUCCUGAAUUUAUGGAUUAGUUAGAUAUCUAAUUUCUUCACUUUUUAAAGUGGAAAUUACUAGUUGCUUGAUGAGUAUGAUAAGUUUACUGCAAAAUACUUGUCUAGGACGCCCUCUGCUAUGAUGGGCUCUAAUGUGUUGAUUUCUCUGAUUUCUGCCCUGGAAGAAACUUUCCAUUUCUCUAAUUUAUGUUGUUUUUUUUUUAACCAUUGUUGCUAUUUUAACUGCUAGCUUUUUUUUUUAUUGAAUUUAACUGCUGUUGGUUUUUUUUAUGGGUUGAUUAUGUAAUUUUAUUAGUUGUUCUUACAGUUACAAACAAUAUUAAUCCAAAUGUGCAUGAUUAUAUAUAUAUAUAUAUAGUUUGCAUUAAUAUUAAUGGAAUAAAGAUUGAAAAAGAUCAUAAGUAACCAUACCACACAAGUUGAGAUUGUGUGGAUAUUAUAUCUUCAAAAUACACACCCAACUAGCUCUGGUGAGCUCUGGAGACUUUAAACUCGUUAUUUGAAGCGUUUUGCUAAUAUCAUUCAUUUGGAUUAGUUGCAAAUAAAAUUCAUUGUUUCUAAUUAGUAGCUAAAUAAAUUCACUAUCCAUGAUGGAAUUCUCCUACAAUUUUAGGAUUAACAAAGAAGAAUCAUAUAAAAAAUUAUAAUAAUGAAGGAGCAAAAUAAGAUAUGGCCUGGGAAUUUGUUUAUGCCAGUAUAGCAAACGCCACAUAUAACUUCUUAAGUUACAAUAAACUAGGAGAAGGUAGAUUUGGGCCAGUGUACAAGUAGGGAUGGCAAUGGGGAGGGGAGGGGAGGGGAGGGGACCAAUCUCCCCGUACCCAUCCCUGAUAUUUUGUGUAUGUCCUCGUCCUCUCCCCGUUCCCGUCAUAAUUACUUGAGAGAAUCUCCACCCCCUCCCCGAAUAAUAACAGGGGAUCCCCGAGGGUCUCCGAUCCCCGAAUAACUAAUACAUUUUUGUUUUCGAUUUUGAGUUAAUCAUAUUAAAAUAAAAAAAUUCAAAUAAAAGUAAAGUUUGAAAUAUAUCUUACAUUAAUAUCCAUUAGAAAAGUCACAUACAUUAAAUUAGUAAGUAACGCAGCGUGUAAGGGAUACAAACUUAUUUUAUAAACUAUCGUGAAUAAAUUAAUAGUCUAAUACAAAAUGGUUACAAAUAAAAUCGAAUUUAGAUUCAAAAUUAACUUUUUCAAUGGUGGCGUGGGCACUUUAUAAAUGUGGACUAUUCCUUUUACAACACAAUAGUUAAGUCGGAGCAAAUCAAGAGCAAAUAUUAGAUUAGAUAUUAAAAUUGUGAUUCCCUGUGGGCAAUUAUAACAUCUAAAAAUAAAUAAAAAAUAGAUUUAAGUUUAAAACAUUUAAUGAAUAUUAAAAUAAAAAUAAAAUUUUUGGGCUAAUAGAAUUUACCCGGUUUUUUUAAUGUGCUAAAUAAAAAUUUAGGAUUUUAAUUAGUUAAUUAGGCCUAAAAGUUUAAUAAUAUAAAUAUUUUGAUAUUUUUUAUUUUUACCAAUAUUUAAAAUUUUAUAAUUCAAAUUUUAUUAUUUAUUUACUAGUAAUUUUAAAAAAUAAAAAUUAAAAUUAAAAUUAAAAUGGGGAAAUGGGUAGGGGAUGGGGAUUCUACCUCAUCCCCAUCCCCUCCCCGAAUAAGAAAUUGGGUAAAAAAAUUUCCCCGUCCCUUCCCCGAAUAAGAAAUUGGGUAUGAAAUUAUCCUCAUACCCUCCCCGAAUGGGGAAAAUUCCCGAGGGUACCCGUCCCCGUGGGGAUUUUUGCCAUCCCUAGUUUUAUUUUACUAAAACACAAAAUAUGAUUUUUUUUAUUAAAAAGAAAUUCAUAGUUAAUUUAUCUCCUUAAUAGAGUCUUGUUUUUGUGGAAGUAGUAAUGGAUGUAACCAUUAUUAAAUAACUUUUCAAAAUUAUAACAAUUAUAGACCUUAUCAUAAGAAAUCAAUAAGUGAAUAUUAUACAAACAUAAUUAGUAUGAAGUUGAAUCAAUAUUGAUGAUGGACCGGAAAUUCAAAUCCAAAAUCUUCACUAAUUUGGCUUAGUAACUUUCUUGUUCAAGUUUAAUAAUUUUUGUGAAACUGCUCCUAAAAUUAGGGAGAGCAAAGUGAUAUAUAUAUUUGAUGGACAAUAUAAAUGCCAUGUAUCACCUCUACCCCAUUUGAUUUUUAUAUGAGUUAAUUUAUUUAAACUUAAAGUUCAACAAGAUUAUUGUACAACGUGCAUUGUUGAUCAAUUAAUUGAUAAGCUCACUGACAUAGAGAAUUAAAAAAAAUUACCACUAAUAUGGGUUGAUGUCCUUGAAGGAUGAAAUGGUGAUACAAAAUAAAUACACAAAUGCCUGAAGCUUGCAUGUAAUAGAUCAAAUAGUAAAAAAUAAUUUAAAUCUUGAGAAAAUGACAAAAUCUUUUAAAAUAAUUCGGCGCUCCUAAAGAGACUAUGUUUGUAUAUAGAAACACAUUUGAUCUAUAGUUAGAUUAUUGAAUAUACUGCCCUAGAAAGGCAUACCAACUAAUAAAUGAAUCUCAAAUACUCUGAAAAAGGUAGAUACUAAGAAACAAAGAGAUUGAAAUUGUCCUAUAAAAGAUGCUCAUGUAUAUUAAAAAAGAGAGAUCUUCAGUUCUUGCAGAGAUAUAUGUAUUAGAAAUUUCGAAAGAUCUCAAUUGUGCAUAUAUAUUGAAAAUGAGAAAUAUUUAAUAAAUGUUGGUACUUGGUGCAAGAGAAAAAAUUGAAAUUGACAUUAAAUAUUUGUCAAUAAAAUAUAGUUGUUAUGAUAAAAAAUUUUUAGAAUUCUAAAUUAUAAAAUGUAUAGAUCAUCAAAUUAUAUGAUUGGCCAAAAUUGUAAAAUAUUUAGAUUUGUAGUCCAUACACUAAAUGACGUAAAAUUAAUUAGUAAAAUUUUAUGAAUUUUGGACUUGUAGUCCAUACACCUAAAGUCAUAAAAUUUAUUAAUAAAAUGUAAAUCUGAACUGUAGUAUGUCAAAAUUAAAUUGAAGAAUUUAUCUAAAAUUCGCAAUGAAUAGUCUGCAUAUACUUUAACAGCCUCAACUGCGGAAUCUGCCAAAGCCAAGAACAGAGAAAGAUGAUCGCCAUCACCAAAGCCAUUUCCCAUGGGAUAGAGCCGUAUCUUCCUGAAAAGAAUUUUAUGGAAUUUAAUUGUUCAUUCACUAAAAACUUUGUCCCAAGAACGUAUUUACAUCUAUAAUCUGAUUUAAAAAAAAAAUUUGAAUCUUUGAUACCAUUUGUGAUUUCCAGCACUGAACACUUGUGAUUCCUGACGUCCUUCGCCCAACUUUGAAAAGUUUUCAACCUUCCAAACAUACUUAGAACUAUAUGCAUAUUUUUCCAUGGAUAGGCACUCUCCUUUGACUAUGUUUCUUUCUUUAACAAAGACUUCAGCUCCAAAAAUACAUGUAUCCUCGACAAGGUAUCCAUUUGAAGCAUCGUUGAAAGCUUUAAGCGGGAUGAACUGAUCAAAACCCCAUUCAAGCUUCAAUCCAUUAAACCUUCUUUCCUUUCCCAUGGCAUCUAUCACAUUACAAGCGACCACCGAUUAUGCAAUUGCUUAUCUAAAAGACUAGAACGAGCUUCUGCUGCAAUAUUUUCUGUAAAACUUUAUAUGUACCAGCUAGACUGUAUUUAAUUUGUGAAAUACUGAUGAUCGCACUAGAUAAAAUUUAUAAACAUACGAUAUCGUCAAAAUUGUCAAACAUAGAUCAUUGGAAAAUAUGAUCAAGGUUAGCAUUUCAAAAGUAGAAUAUAAUAUAACCUUGAACCACCAAGUAGUUGUCUUGGUUCUGAUCAAGUAAAAAUAAACGAAAAACUGCAUAGACUUCCCAACCAAGAGUAACCGAACUUGUGUCUGCCACUGCUAAGUAGAGUGAAAUGUGGUCUUGCACAUUCUUGCUCUUAUUUCCAUUUGGAUAUAGAACAAGUUUCCUGCAAUAAUUAAUUGAUCAACAUAAAUACACUAAUUUAUGAUAUUACCAAGCAAAGACUAUGGUUCAAGAGUUAGGUUUGAAUCCUGAUCACAUUAGGGAUGAGGGUUGAGUUGUAGCAUUUUUCUUAUUAUUACUAUAGCUUAAUGGCAACCCAAUUCUCUCCCAUCUUUGUAAAGUAGGUUCGAACCCCAGAUCUCAUGUUUCGGCACAAGAGAUUUUACCCAAUUGAACUAAACGACACUCAACCCACAAGUUGAGGAGUUGUUUGAUUAUAUAUCAAGAUGAAAUAAUAAUAAUGAUGAUGAUAAUAACAAAAGAAAAGGUAGUGGCGUAAGUUAUUUCAUUUACAGCAAUAAAGGAAAAAAAAACUUAUAUAUGUAUAUAUAUACCACUUGUAGCCUCCAGCUUCAAAUGCUCCUGAUUCGUAUUUCUCAUCAACUGCUUUCUCCGCAAGUACUGAAAAUGAUUUUAUUUUGACAAUGUAAUGAGCCGGUGGUACAUGUGAAGUGGAUCUUGCAAUGGCUAUACAUUCAAGUAAUUUUAAUUAACACCCACUGAUUAUAAAUAAAAUAAACUGAAUAUUUUAAGAAUGUUGACCAAAAGAACAUGAAAGGUUUGAACAUACAUACCAUCUUUGUCAACAAAGACACUGUCCAUCUUUGUUAAAUUGUUCAUUUUUUUUUCUUUUUUGGUAAUUAAACUGAAGCCGGAGGCUGUAGACGCUACUUGGACGGUACUGUUUUUGUUGGCAAGGGCAAGGCACAAGGCUCUGCUACCGAUCCUAGGGAAAAAAAUGGACUAUUAUUUAUUAGGGUAACUUUUUUUUUUUUUUUGAAGAUAAGGUAACUUAAAAUUUACUUAAUUAUAUCCUAAAAAAUUAAGAAAAUAAAUUAAAUCCUAACUAAACUGAAAUUACAAAACAGCUCAAAUACGACCAAUUUGACUGAUUAUAAUUUCUAAUAUAAUUUUACCAAAAUAGAAUGAUGACUACUUGCCCCUUGCAUAUUAACAAUGAAAAAGAUCUCUUUGUUUGAUGAAAAUUUGGCAUGAAUUGAAAUUCAAACAUGGGAAAAGUGUUAAUGUAGAAGCGAUGAUACCAGAACAGAACAUAACCGUCCUCCCUAGCAUAUAAUGUCAAACAACAACUACAAAGACAGCUAGCUAGCUCUUCAAAGGUACUGAAGUCCAAAACAUAGCCAUAAUUACUAGUAGCUCACUUAUUGCUAGGGAUGGCAAUGGGCGGGCUCGGGGUGGAGAUCAUGAACCCCAAACCCAAACUGGUAGCAAUCUCCGUACCAUAACCAAAAAACUUUAACUGGGGAUAUCCCUGAUAAUCCCAUUUAUUUAUUUUUUAAAAAAUUGAUAAUUUUGAAUAUUCGGGUCCUUCAAAAAAAAUUAAUUAUUUUGCAUACAUAGCUUUGAAAAAAAAUUAAAAAUGAGCAAAUUAAUAGCGCAAACAACAUUUCAAACGAACGAAUUCAGCUAUCAAGCAUACCCGUAAUUAAUAACAAGAUUAUUUCAACACAAAACGAAUUGAUAAUCAUCCAUCAAGCAUAUCCGUAAUAAUAAAUCCAAUAUCACUGAACAAACUUGUACAAUAAUACCACUUAGUAAUAUUCAACCAAGUUUCAAAGAAUACGGCCUCGUCGCAAGUAAAGGCGCUAAUUUCUAAAAUUACCUUGACUGAUCAAAUGGCAGCUAAGGCGGUGACGGGUGGUUGAGUCCGGUGAGAAAUGAGAGCGCCGGCGAGAAAGGGUUAGCGGCUUGCGGUAAUGCUUGGUCUUUAGGCUAGAGAGGAAAGCGAUGUUAACGGCGCAAUCUUGGACUUUUGGUGUUGGACGCGACGGCCGGAAAGGGGAAGCUCCGUUGACCGUUGGAGACUUGGAGGUGGCGAUGUCUAGCGUUUUGAGAGUGGUGGGUUUCGGUCUGGGUUUUAGACUUUUAGUUUUGUGAUGCCUUUUUUUAUUAUUUGAUUAAACUUAUUCGGAAAGUGCGUCGAGUAAUUUUUUUAUUAAAUUAAAUAUUUUUAAUCGUGUGAAUUCAAAAUAUAUUUUACUUUUAAAAUAAAAAAAUUUGGGUUUCGAAUUCUUGAACCCAAAUGCAAAAUACAUUUGAGACUUGGACUUACUUUUGAAACAGAUCCGUUUUCAGUUUUAAAGCGGUUUGGGUUCAUAUCUGACCCGAAUUAAUCUAAACCAUCCCUACUUAAUACUUUCUUCGUUUCAACUACAUUUUUUUUUUUUUAAAUAUCAAAAUCUUAGAAGAAAAAAGAGGUAAAAGCCCAUUCAAUCUCUAUAUUUUAAAAUUAGUAUUCAUUUAGGCCCUAUAUUUUUUAAAAUAUCUCGAAACAUCCUUACCGUUAAAAUAUUGAUACCCAUACCGUUCCUUUUUAUUUCUUUUAGCUUACUUUUACAAUAUUACCCUUUUAUAAUAAUUUUUUUAUUUGAACAUUAAUAAAAAAUAAUUAAAUUAUCAAUUUAACUAAAAAAAUUAUAUUAAUUUUUAAUUGUCAAAAAUUGUAUGCAAAUUACCAAGCGUGCAAAUGGUACUUGCAAAAAAAUUAAUAUAAUUUUUUUUUUAUUUUUAAGGUUAAAUUAGUAAUUUAAUUAUUAUUUUUUAUUAAUAUCCAAACAAAAAAAUUAUUAUAAAAGGGUAAUAUUGUAAAAAUAAACCAAAAGAAAUAAAAAGUAACAAUAGGGGUAUCAAUACUUUAACGACAAAGAUGUUUCGAGGCAUUUUAAAAAUAUAAGGACUAAAUGGACACUAAUCUUAAAAUACGGGGACUAAAUGAACUUUUACCCAUAAAAGAAUUAGAGUAGGGGAUAUAAGGAAUUUCUCCCUAAAGAGAUGCAGAGAAAUAGAACACCAAAAUAACACUAAAAAGUUAGCUUGACAGCAUAAACAAUAAGCAAUGUAAGAGUUAUUUUGGAAAACCACAAGAGAAAUAAAUUUCCUGAUAGCUAAAAUAAAUUUCCUAGAUUAGCCAGGCAGUCAGCAUCAUACAAUAAAAGAACCCAUUUGGAAGACAAUUAAUUACUUGCUAUAAUGGCUCGGAAAUUCCGAGCACAGUGACCUCAGCUUCCACCACGCAAACGCCAUUCACUAGAAAUCUAGUCUCUGGCUCAUCUAACUCACCCAAUGAAACGAAUCUUGGCCGGCCCCAGUUAUCGCUUGGUGUAUGGAACCAGUCUUUAUUCUCUGCUAGAGUAAAAGGAACAUUCUCGUUAUAUUAAUGGGACUUGCCUCAAAAACUAAUUGCAGGUAAACACAGACAUUUUACCUUGAAAAGAUUUAUGUUUUGCCCCCACUUGAUCUAUGAUUCGCAAUGUAUGCUCUACAUAUAUGCUUUAGUCGCCUCGACUGCGGAAUCUCCCAAAGCCAAGUACAGAGAAAGAUGAUCGCCAUCACCACAGCCGUUUACAAUCUGGAGGAAUGUGCUUCACAAACAAAGAAACAAACAGACACUACCAGAAGCAACUAUGCAGUUACUGGUUCAGAAACACAAAACCUAGAGUCACUGAAAAUGGAUAGAACAAUUACUAUCUUUGAGUAAAGAAGCAAAACAACUAAAACCUAGCUUUGCCAGCUUUUGCGGCACGCAGCCCUUCAGUAAUUAGUGCAUCAAGCUACAGGUCCAUAACUCGCGUGUAUGAAUUUGAAAUUUAGGAGUCCAAUAAUGCAAGCGGUUUGAGUGAGAUAUUAUAACUGAAUUAUUGGCAAUUAAAACUUCAGGAAGUAACGGGUGUCUGAUAAGCUUCUACCUUCACAUUUGCAGCAACCACUGCCUAAUGUCCUUUUGUAGGACUCCAUCAAACCCAUUUCUAUUGUAGUUCAAACUCAACUGAUCAGAUCCAUUUGUCUGAAGAUGCCUAUACUGGGUUAUGGUUCCCGCAGGCCUUGGAUGCCGCAUCAUCAUGGCAAUGGUAGAAAAGGGUAGUUUAGGCCAUAUAUUUUUUGAUGAGCUAAACAGAUGUAAAUCAGAUUCCUUGUUUCUGGAUGUUUGGACUCCAGGAGUUUUUGGAUUGGAAGACUUCAUUCCAUGGUUGGUCAUGUUCAUGCUGGGGCCAUGUGGCAGUUUCUCAGGGGGACCAUGUAUCUGGGCAGAUGGUUUCAUACGGUCAAGCCAACGUAGAAUCCAGUUACCAACAUUUCUACCAACUUCUAUGUCCCUCUGUUGUAUGUUCCUAUGAAACUUGAGAGCAAUAUCAAAGGCAGCACGUACUCAGCUGUGGAAAAAAUCAAUGAAGAAUGAAGGUCAGUCUUCAAAAACAAUGGCAGUUCCAAGUUGGAGUAAUAAAUUUGUUAUUAUGCAAAACAAUUGUAGAAAUAACAGUAUUUGCCAGCUAGUAAUUGACAUAACAGCAGUAGUUAAACAGUAGAAUGGAAUCCAAUGAGCCAACCAGAGGGAAGAAUGCAAAGCUCGGGCAGUACCGUGGUCAGUAUCACACUGAGACUCUAACAGUGGAGGAUGUCCAAUUAUUGGUUUCAUAAUGCAUACUAAAUCAAUUCAAAGUCCAAAGUAUAGAAACAAUUAACUAAUUUAGGAUUUCAAUUUUAUGCAGAGGGUUUCAUGAAUAAUUACAACUGGAUCGGAAAGAUUCUGGAGCAAAAAAAUGUGCCCUGGUAAAUUACUGUCAUGAAGUAAAUAACAUCCUACAAAUAAACAUCAAAAUAUAACGGCUCAUUAAAAAGAAAAGCACAGAAGAACUUUCAAUCUAUCAUUUCAAAACAGUCUCUUUGAACUAAACAAGAGUACAGCUAUGACCUCCAGCUUUGGACGUUAGUACUUGUGCUUCUCCAAAAUCUUCACAUCACCUAAAGAGAGACAGCAAAGGUUUCUCAGGGGGACCACGUAUAUGAGCAGAUGGUUUCAUUUAGUCAAGCCAACGUAGAAUCCAGCAUUUCUACCAACUUCUAUGUCCCUCUCAUGUAUGUUCCUGUGAAACUUGAGAGCAACAUCAAAGGCAGCACGUACUCGGCUGUGGAAAAAAUCAAUGAAGAAUGAAGGUCAGUCUUCAAAAAACAAUGGCAGUUCCAAGUUGGAGGAGUAAUAAAUUUGUUAUUAUUCAAAACAAUUGUAGAAAUAACAGUAUUUGCC